UACAGAGGUCUCAAGCGUUGUUCGGAUUCAUUGGGCGUAAAGGGUGUGUAGGUGGCGCCGUAAGUCGGGUGUGAAAUUUCGGAGCUUAACUCCGAAACUGCAUUCGAUACUGCGGUGCUUGAGGACUGGAGAGGAGACUGGAAUCAUGGUGUAGCAGUGAAAUGCGUAGAGAUCAUGAGGAAGACCAGUGGCGAAGGCGGGUCUCUGGACAGUUCCUGACACUGAGACACGAAGGCCAGGGGAGCAAACGGG
rnacentral:rRNA from 1 species